AAGUACCUGAAGGAAGAGAAAGAAAUUCGAUUCCGUAAGUAGCGGCGAGCGAACGCGGAUUAGCCCAAACCAAUAAAGUUUUCUUUAUUGGGGUUGUGGACAUAUCAUAACGAAGAGGUAUCGUAAUUGAAGAGGUUUGGAAAGACCCACCACAGAAGGUAAUAGUCCUGUAUGUUAAACGAGAAGACUUUAGAUAUGAUCCAGAGUACCACGGGACACGUGAAACCCUGUGGGAAGCAGGAGGGACCACCCUCCAAGGC
rnacentral:rRNA from 1 species